UUUCACACGCAUAUAAAAAGAAAAAAAUUACAAUCCCUGGCUCAUUCAACGCCGUUCUUCCUUCUAGCUAGGGCUUCUAUCCUCUCUGAACAUACAACACUCUCAUUUCUUCAGUGUAAAGAAGCUCUCCGACAACGCCUUCUUCCUUCUAGGGCUUCUCCUCUCUCCGCCGGUUACGAUCUCUCCAGCUCUGUUAGGGAUUUUUGGGUCUUCCGUUGAAGCAUUGGAUUGACGUUGGUGCGGGGGUGAUUGACGACGAUCUCAGGUCUUCUUUCGCUUACUUCUAUUAACAAUUCUGCACUCAAGGUUCAUAUCUUCUUCAUUAUUAGGUAACUUUCUUUUUCCUCUGCUGAAUUAUUUUGAGUAUGCUUCUCUGUCUUGACUCUUGACCUUAAAGGGUAAUCAAAUAUCUUUUCUUUUUGUGCUGUGUUUUACUUCCUGGUGUUGGUGAUGGUGAAAAUUUAAGAAAU